GACGAACGCUGGCGGCGUGCUUAACACAUGCAAGUCGAACGGAAAGGCCUCUUUCGGGGGGUACUCGAGUGGCGAACGGGUGAGUAACACGUGAGUAACCUGCCCUUGACUUUGGGAUAACUUCAGGAAACUGGGGCUAAUACCGGAUAGGAGCUCCUGCUGCAUGGUGGGGGUUGGAAAGUUUCGGCGGUUGGGGAUGGACUCGCGGCUUAUCAGCUUGUUGGUGGGGUAGUGGCUUACCAAGGCUUUGACGGGUAGCCGGCCUGAGAGGGUGACCGGCCACAUUGGGACUGAGAUACGGCCCAGACUCCUACGGGAAGCAGCAGUGGGGAAUAUUGCACAAUGGGUGGAAGCCUGAUGCAGCAACGCCGUGUGCGGGAUGACGGCCUUCGGGUUGUAAACCGCUUUCGCUCAUGACGAAGCUUUGUGUGACGGUAGUGGGUAAAGAAGCACCGGCUAACUACGUG
rnacentral:rRNA from 1 species